UACGAAGGUGGCAAGCGUUGUUCGGAUUUACUGGGCGUACAGGGAGCGUAGGCGGUUGGAUAAGCCCUCCGUGAAAUCUCCAGGCUUAACCUGGAAAGUGCAGAGGGGACUGUUCAGCUAGAGGAUGGGAGAGGAGCGCGGAAUUCCCGGUGUAGCGGUGAAAUGCGUAGAGAUCGGGAAGAACACCGGUGGCGAAGGCGGCAUCCUGGGUUAACACUGACGCUCAGGCACGAAAGCGUGGGGAGCAAACAGG
rnacentral:rRNA from 1 species